rnacentral:rRNA from 1 species
UACGGAGGGUGCAAGCAUUAAUCGGAUUUAUUGGGCGUAAAGGGCGCGUAGGCGGAAAUGUAAGUCAGAUGUGAAAUUCCGAAGCUCAACUUCGGAGCUGCAUUUGAGACUGCAUAUCUAGAGGGAUGGCGGAGAAAAUGGAAUUCCACAAGUAGCGGUGAAAUGCGUAGAUAUGUGGAAGAACACCGGUGGCGAAAGCGGUUUUCUAGCUUUUACCUGACGCUGAGGCGCGAGAGCAAGGGGAGCAAACAGG